rnacentral:lncRNA from 1 species
UUAGAUCCAACGAUCAGAAACGAUUUAAUAUCAUGAUGUACUGGUAUCUCGAAAUACUUUUUGUUAUUUUUGCUAACCGUAAAAUUGCUAACCGAAGAAACUUGUUGAUUUAUAUCAGCAUAAGUUACACACUUGCGCACUCCCUGAGAACAAGGGAAACAUAGAAACAAUUUUACAGCCUUUUAGAACAAACAACCUAAGUAAUAAUAACUACGCCGAUCAAGCCCCUGUAACUAGUUCGAUCGGCUAGCUUGCUUUGGGUGCACCUUCUUCUUCUUCACCAGCCGAGAGAAUCCCCAGCGCUCUCCCUUGCUCACCUCAGGCGCCGUCUUCUUUUCAGACGAUCCACCGCCCGCCGCCGCCUUCUUUCCUGUCGCCGCCGCCGCCUCGCUGGCGUUUGCCUCGGCCUUCAUCUUCUCCUUGCAGGCUUUCCUCAGCACGUAGGCCUCCACGAGGUCCCCUGCUACCAUAGAUGUCAUCUUCAGCGCCCUCUCUCUCUCUCUCACAGGGCAAGCUCUCUACUUUUUUAUCUGAG